rnacentral:lncRNA from 1 species
AUCAAAUAAUAUAAAAUAAAUGCAGAAUUAGUAGAAUACCUCAAACGCUAAUCCAAAGUAUACAAUCUCCACGAGGCGUCCAAGUGUCCGCCCUCCAAUGGUGAUCCACACGAAAACUUGAUCAAGACUUUAGCUCCAAAGACUUUUGAUCCUUAAUGCAGAAUUUUUCUAAAGAACUCUAAUGGCUUGCUUUCCUUCCU